AUGUUUUCUCUCCAGUCUGAGCUGCAGUGUCUGUAUUCCACUCAGCAGGCAGAGCUACAGGCCGAAAGAGAUCUCAGUCGCACACUACAGGAGAAAUGCCGGCACCUGGAAGAGAGUUUGAAACGGCUCCAGGAUGAGGCAGAAGUGAGUCUCAGGGAAGUUUAUCUGGAGUCACAGCAGAUCACAGAGAACAUGGACGAGGACCACAGAGGGGUCUGCUCUAAAUCUGAGAGCUUUAAUGGCCAGGCUGAGCCACAGAAACUCACAGAGCUUUCGCAAGAGGGGAAAAGACAGCACAAGGUCCACUUCAGCUCAGGUAGCAAAUGAAACAUGAUUCAUGAAAUUAUUUUAUACUGUUUGUUCAAAACUCAUUAAAAAGGCUCCUAAAAAUUCAGUGAUCAAUUGU
ensembl:lncRNA